rnacentral:piRNA from 1 species
ACAUCACUUUAUCACGGCAGACUUCUU